rnacentral:rRNA from 1 species
UAAGAAAGGAGCUAGCGUUCUUCGGAAUUACUGGGCGUAAAGCGCACGUAGGCGGCCUUGUAAGAUGGGGGUGAAAUCCCCGGGCUCAACCCGGGAACUGCCUUCAUGACUGCAAAGCUAGAGGAUGCGAGAGGUUAGCGGAAUUCCGAGUGUAGAGGUGAAAUUCGUAGAUAUUCGGAAGAACACCAGUGGCGAAGGCGGCUAACUGGCGCAUUUCUGACGCUGAGGUGCGAAAGCGUGGGGAGCAAACAGG